rnacentral:rRNA from 1 species
GUCGAAAAUGUUGUCUCUCUUGAGUGGAUCCUGAGUACGACGGAGCACGUGAAAUUCCGUCGGAAUCUGGGAGGACCAUCUCCUAAGGCUAAAUACUCUCUAGUGACCGAUAGUGAACCAGUACCGUGAGGGAAAGGUGAAAAGCACCCCGGAAGGGGAGUGAAAUAGAACCUGAAACCGUGUGCUUACAAGUAGUCAGAGCCCGUUAAUGGGUGAUGGCGUGCCUUUUGUAGAAUGAACCGGCGAGUUACGAUUUGAUGCAAGGUUAAGCAGUAAAUGUGGAGCCGUAGCGAAAGCGAGUCUGAAUAGGGCGUUUAGUAUUUGGUCGUAGACCCGAAACCAGGUGAUCUACCCUUGGUCAGGUUGAAGUUCAGGUAACACUGAAUGGAGGACCGAACCGACUUACGUUGAAAAGUGAGCGGAUGAACUGAGGGUAGCGGAGAAAUUCCAAUCGAACCUGGAGAUAGCUGGUUCUCUCCGAAAUAGCUUUAGGGCUAGCCUCAAGUGAUGAUUAUUGGAGGUAGAGCACUGUUUGGACGAGGGGCCCCUCUCGGGUUACCGAAUUCAGACAAACUCCGAAUGCCAAUUAAUUUAACUUGGGAGUCAGAACAUGGGUGAUAAGGUCCGUGUUCGAAAGGGAAACAGCCCAGACCACCAGCUAAGGUCCCAAAAUAUAUGUUAAGUGGAAAAGGAUGUGGCGUUGCCCAGACAACUAGGAUGUUGGCUUAGAAGCAGCCAUCAUUUAAAGAGUGCGUAAUAGCUCACUAGUCGAGUGACACUGCGCCGAAAAUGUACCGGGGCUAAACAUAUUACCGAAGCUGUGGAUUGUCCUUUGGACAAUGGUAGGAGAGCGUUCUAAGGGCGUUGAAGCAUGAUCGUAAGGACAUGUGGAGCGCUUAGAAGUGAGAAUGCCGGUGUGAGUAGCGAAAGACGGGUGAGAAUCCCGUCCACCGAUUGACUAAGGUUUCCAGAGGAAGGCUCGUCCGCUCUGGGUUAGUCGGGUCCUAAGCUGAGGCCGACAGGCGUAGGCGAUGGAUAACAGGUUGAUAUUCCUGUACCACCUAUAAUCGUUUUAAUCGAUGGGGGGACGCAGUAGGAUAGGCGAAGCGUGCGAUUGGAUUGCACGUCUAAGCAGUAAG